rnacentral:rRNA from 1 species
GACGAACGCUGGCGGCGUGCUUAACACAUGCAAGUCGAACGGAAAGGCGCUGCUUUUGUGGGGUGCUCGAGUGGCGAACGGGUGAGUAACACGUGAGUAACCUGCCCUUGACUUUGGGAUAACUUCAGGAAACUGGGGCUAAUACCGGAUAGGAGCUCCUGCUGCAUGGUGGGGGUUGGAUAGUUUCGGCGGUUGGGGAUGGACUCGCGGCUAAUCAGCUUGUUGGUGGGGUAGUGGCUUACCAAGGGUUUGACGGGUAGCCGGCAUGAGAGCGUGAACGGGCACCUGGGGCCUGCGGGACGGAGCAGAGUGCUACGGUAGGCAAUAGGGGGGAGUAUGGCACAGUGGUCGGAAGUGUGAUGCAGCGACGCUGGGUUCGGGAUGAAGUCCUUGCGGGUGUAAAGCGCUUUCGCCUGUGACGAAGCGUGAGUGACGGUAAUGGGUAAAGAAGCACCGGCUAACUACGUG